rnacentral:rRNA from 1 species
AUUGAACGCUGGCGGCAGGCCUAACACAUGCAAGUCGAGCGAGCGGCGGACGGGUGAGUAAUGUCUGGGAAACUGCCUGAUGGAGGGGGAUAACUACUGGAAACGGUAGCUAAUACCGCAUACCAUCGGAUGUGCCCAGAUGGGAUUAGCGAGUAGGUGGGGUAAAGGCUCACCUAGGCGACGAUCCCUCGCUGGUCUGAGAGGAUGACCAGCCACACUGGAACUGAGACACGGUCCAGACCCCGAGGGGAGGCAGCAGGGGGGAAUAUGGGAAAAUGGGCGCAAGCCGGAUGCAGCAAUGCCGCGUGGAGGAAGAAGGCCUUGGGGUUGUAAAGUACUUUCAGAGGGGAGGCGUUACCAGCAGAAGAGGCACCGGCUAACUCCUGGCCAACAGCCGCGGUAAUG